CAUGGGUAAUUUCAUGGCAAAUGGGUUGCCAUCUACACAGAUGUUAAGUCAUGUGUUCAAAUCGCUCCAUGAACACUUCACCGAUUCCGAAAUCAAAGACUUCGAUGAUUUUCAUGCCGCCGUUCUCGAUAUCUUUAAUGUUAUUAACUAAGCAUUACUGGGUAAACAUUACGAUGCCCCAUCUCGCGAUGAAGUUGAGGUCAGUCUACGUUUAUUUUU